rnacentral:snRNA from 1 species
GCAUCUUCUCGGCCUUCGUGGCUAAGAUCAAGUGUAGUAUCUGUUCUUAUCAGCUUAAUCUCUGGUAGUGAGGCCCAUGUGCCUCACCACUCAAGAUUAGACUUAUUUCUUGUGGGCGCCCUGGCACCAAGUCUUUGCAGCUGAGCUGCGGGGUGGUCCAGGGAGCAGUGAUCAGCUUCACAUUGCACACACCUGUGAAGUUCUUCAAAUGGUCCACCCUUC